UAAAUGAGAGCCAGAUAGACAGAGACAAUAAAAAGGAAAGGUGGAGAAGAAUGAGAAUGAAAGAGAAAAAAAUAGUGAUAGAGAAAAAGACAGAUAGUUAGGGCAGGGGGAGAAAACGAUAUAGAGAGAAAAAGGCAAUUUAACAGAUUUAAGCAAUUUGGAGUGUUUUGUAUGGAGAGGUAGAAGAGCGAGGGCAGGGUCAGCGUUGCAGUGGAGACCGAGUCUAAGCCUUAAAACCCGUGAGUGACAUCGCAGACUGGUGGAGGAGGAAUGGAGGAAACCGGAGAACCCUGAUAAAAGCUCAUCUGAGGAUAGUUAAACGUCAAUGGACACUGGACCAUGACUUCCAGGGCUCUGGUGACUCGACAAUCAAAAGGAAAGGCAGAGAAGAAUGAGAAGAUUGAGGUAAGGAUCUUGGUUACUGAUCAGAAGGUUGGGGUUCAAUUACCAGAACUACCAAGCUGCCACUGUCACUUGAACACAGCCCUUAACUCUUUCUGUCCUUGUGCUCUGACCCUAAGUUUCUAUCAAGCUGGGAUAUGUGAAGAAAAUAAUUUCACUGUGCUGUAAUGUAUAUGUGACAAAUAAAGACUUCUCCUUUCCAAGAACUAAGAGGCCCAAACCUAGUUCCUCAGCAUGACCCUGUGCAUGGAGCUGGCCUUCAUGAAGACAUAAUGUGGAGGUGAAGGUUGGACUGGAAGAACUGGAACUGAAGUCUCCUCAACAUCACAGUCCGAUCUCACAAAUGUUCUAGUAGAACGUGUGAACUAUCACAAAUCCACAUAGACACACUCCACCAUCUAACAGAAAGCUUCUGAGAAGAGAAGAGAAGAGAAGAGAAGAGAAGAGAAGAGAAGAGAAGAGAAGAGAAGAGAAGAGAAGAGAAGAGAAGAGGACAUCUAUAAUGUGUUGUUAGCCAUAUAGUGUAUUCCAGAAAAUGAGUGUCUAAUCUUUCUUUAAGUACUUCUGAAGGGAUGAACGUUCAGUUUGGUGUUCUAACAAGGUUUACUAGAUAAUUGUGGGUUUUAACGUUCUAAAAUGGUGUUCCUCAGAACCCUUUAUCAUAAGGACACUGAUCGAGUCUCUGAUCCAUUAAGUCAGCUGAAAAAUAUAGUUAUCAUUUGUCCAUGCAGAUUUUUCACCUAAACAGGAUUUCUGAGAAGAAUUUAACACUUUCUCCAAGAAGCAGACUCAAGUAAACCACUUAUUGAGUUUCUCCUCAUGUUCAGAUUUGACUUCAGUUUCUCAUUCCUGGUAGUUCUUUACAUGUAAUCCACAUUUAGUAACUUAACUUCUCUUCAAUUUCUCAAAGUUUCUCUCCACUGGCUUCUUGUAGCAGGCUGCAUUAUCUUUAAAACCCUGGCUUAUAAACCAAAAAUGGAUCAGCCUGGUCCACACCUGAUGGUGAUCCCAAAUAGAUUACAGUAUUAGAACAGAAUACUCCAGCAGAUAUUUCUAAACCCUCUAAACCAGGAUUUUCUAGCUACUCCUCCCUUCAGUGUACUGGAACAGCGCCUGCUGCUUCCCCGCACUGCACUUACGUAAUGCCAUUAAAAAGCCACCAUCAUUUCAAUAUGAAAG